rfam:Myotis lucifugus cont2.53962, whole genome shotgun sequence.
UGGUCAUUACCAAGGCUUUUAGAAUGCAGUUUCUCAUUUGCUGUGGACAUGACCACAAAACAUUUCCCCAAUAGGUUUUUUUUUUCUGCUAUGUUGGUAGCAUAGCAUUCAGCCUACUGGGAACAUUU